GAGGUGGGUGCUGAGGCGGCUACAGGCCGUCCCCGGGGCUUUCCUCAUCGCCCCGCGGUUCUCUUCUCCUCGCCGCCCUGCCGGGGUGUCGGUGGGAGCUGAUGUCGGUGCGAGGCCGCGGCCCUGAAGGGUUUGGGGGGCUCCCCCGGCGGAGCUGCAGCUUCCUCAGGCUCCGCUUGUGCAUCUCUGUGAGGAUUUUCACCCCAAAAUGUUUUCAUUUUCAGGCAGGCCUUCUUAAGCAAAGUAAACCCUCUUGCUGUCUUACAUUUUUCACCAGAAGUGGUAUUUCGGUGGAGUUAACCAAGUAAUGUGUUGACAGAAGUGGGAUUCUGCUCCAUCAAACUCGCGUUGUGUUGGCCUUAAAACGUAGAAGUGUUGUAUUGGUGCAGUAAAUAGUACUUCUGUGUUUAGUUAGAACGGUGUAAAAACGAGGGGUGGGAAAGAAAAGUGAACUUGCGCUUUAGCUGCCUGCAAAGAGGUGAACGGAGGAUGGUUGUCCUGACAGCAAGGGUUCCUCAGGCCCAGGCUGCCCCCUCAGCUAGGGCUUUUCCAGUUCCUGGUCCCAGAGACCAGAACUGCCCCAGAGCCUUCCAUGUUGCCAGGUCAGUGAUGGUCACUAGCCACAGCCUCCCAGGGAGGAUGGGGACCUGCAAGAACCUGUGCCACGGGUGUUGCUGGCUCCUAAGGAGCUCUUGUUUCCUAGAGAAACAGCAAUCCAUUAUCUUGCUCUUGUGGGAUUCAGCACUGGCUACCUAAAGAACGGGAAGAUUUGGCAAAAAAUGGCAGUACUGAAGCCAGAGCUACAAUGCAAAGGUAUUGAUGGCCAAAAACCUCAGCUUCCCUUGUUUAAAGUAUACGUGUAGCAAAGCAUAUGAAUCUAUGGGCUAUUUAUCUUAAAGACAGAAAAUCAUCAUAAGAAAAAUGAGAGAUAUUUUUAGUAGGUCUUUUACAAACAGGUAGUGCUUUUUUGGUUUUGGCAUUGGGAAUUUUGUUUCUAUUCAAUCUGAAUUUUGUGAUAGGGCAAGUGAAACUAAAUGAGGUAGAUGGAUGCUUUUUAAAAGAAAAAGCAGAACAGAAGCAGAUGGUGAAGUGGAGAAAAUAAAAAUAGGAAAAAUGAAGCA
rnacentral:lncRNA from 1 species